rnacentral:lncRNA from 1 species
GUAGGGCCACUUGGGAGAACUUGUGGAUGGCCAUACUUUCUUUUAGAGGCUUCUUCGUUGGAUUCUUGCUCUGUAUCAACUAUCCAAGGUUCCUACCUACCUCUCUUUUUGGUAAUAAUGAGCUUAGAUUAGUCUGUCUCUCCGAGAUAUCUAUGCGUAUCUCCUCAUAUAUUUGUGAUUACUAAAACCAUUGAUCGGCAUUGGGGCAUCUACUAAUAGGAAUCUCAUGAUUAAAGCUUCUACUCCAGAGAAUCCAUGAGUGCGUUUUGGCCGGUGGAACCUUUCGAGCCUAA